rnacentral:rRNA from 1 species
GCAAGUCGAGCGCUUACCUUCGGGUAGGAGCGGCGGACGGGUUAGUAACGCGUGGGAAUAUACCCUUCACUACGGAAUAGCCUCGGGAAACGGAGAGGAAUACCGUAUACGCCCGUCGGGGGAAAGACUUAUCGGUUAAGGAUUAGCCCGCGUAAGAUUAGAUAGUUGGUGGGGUAAUGGCCUACCAAGUCGACGAUCUUUAGCUGGUUUUAGAGGAUGAUC